UACGGAGGGUGCAAGCGUUAUCCGGAUUUACUGGGUUUAAAGGGCGCGUAGGUGGGUUGGUAAGUCAGUGGUGAAAUCUUCGAGCUUAACUCGGAAACUGCCAUUGAUACUAUCAAUCUUGAAUUAUCUGGAGGUAAGCGGAAUAUGUCAUGUAGCGGUGAAAUGCUUAGAUAUGACAUAGAACACCCAUUGCGAAGGCAGCUUACUACGGAUACAUUGACACUGAGGCACGAAAGCGUGGGGAUCAAACAGG
rnacentral:rRNA from 1 species